rnacentral:rRNA from 1 species
AUUGAACGCUGGCGGCAGGCCUAACACAUGCAAGUCGAACGAGUGGCGGACGGGUGAGAAAUGUCUGGGCACCUGCCCGAUGGAGGGGGAUAACUACUGGAAACGGUUGCUAAUACCACAUACCAUCGGCUAUGCCCAGAUGGGAUUAGCUAGUAGGUGGGGUAAAGGCGCACCUAGGCGACGACCCCUAGCUGGUCUGAGAGGAUGACCAGCCACACUGGAACUGAGACACGGUCCAGACGCCUACGGGAGGCAGCAGUGGGGAAUAUUGCACAAUGGGCGCAAGCCUGAUGCAGCCAUGCCGCGUGUAUGAAGAAGGCCUUCGGGUUGUAAAGUACUUUCAGCGGGGAGGCGUUACCCGCAGAAGAAGCACCGGCUAACUCCGUGCCAGCAGCCGCGGUAAUUC